AAUGUAAAAAAAGAUUUUCCUCUUAACAUGAUUUAGGAAGAUUUUAUUUUUUUGGAUGUUGUCAGAAAUUACAGCAAUAUAUUCAUAAAUACCUAAUUACUACAUUCAACAAAUAAUAUUACAAUACAAUUAAUUCAAACAAGUACACUUAGAACAGGUUUAAUUUCACAGCAUCUAAAUUGCCCCCAGAGUGACUGAGGCACUGUUGUUCCUCCCUUCCACCCACGGAUGGGUUUACUGUUCUAGCAGUUAAGCACAGGGUACAAACAAAGUAACACAACCAGUUAGCAUGGUCUUCCUCAGGUCAAGGCAGAGUUACGGAGUUUAAGUUAAGCACUGACUCAAAAAGUUGGGGACAGGCUACAGCAAGUAGUAAAGAGCUUGGUUACUUGGGUAGAGUAUAGAGGUUGUUGCUAAGUGGCUAAUAUACACUUUAGAGUAACAGAAUGUGUGCUGACCAUCUCCACCUUGUGGUGGGUCCUUGGAAUUUUCUGGCUUCAAAUGGCUCAGAGGGAAAGGGGGCAUUUGGUUUGAAAUUGAGCUUAAUUUUUGAAAUCUGGCAGUAUUGUGAGCUACUUGAGUACAACACCAUUCUGCUCUACAAACUUAAGAUUUUCUGUUAUAAUUCUUUGCUGAAUGUGUGGGCUUAAUACUCUUAAUAUUCUUAAGGGUUCAAUCUAUUAGAAUGUUAAUGCCAAUUAAGUGUUUUAUUUUAAGAUUAGAUCCUAUCGUGGUCUCUUUUCUGAGAGUGGAACAGGAGCAUAUGUCCAUUUGGCUCGGAUUGUAUAACACAAACAAAAAGUUUCUGAUUUAAUGUGGAACUACAAGAUUUAGCGUUGGAAGGUGUCCCUCACAAGUUUAGUGAAGUCUCCUUCAGAGGAGAGAUGGCACCAUCAAUUGAGGUAAUGCAGGAAGACCAGAAGAAUGGAGGUCUUCCCGUAAAUACCGACUGACACACAGGCUGCAUAAUCAGUUCUAGAACAAAUUUAAUGUACUUCUCAUCUGUCUUUUAAACUCAAUGUGAAAUACCUGAACAGAGUUUAAGAGUGCGUAUUUGUCAGUUUUUGGUAAGCCCAACUGAAAAUACAAGCUACUGUGUUCUUUCAGAAUCAUCUGAAAAUAAGUAUCUUCAGAUUGUAAGACUGUUAGAUGGGAAAACCAUUAUGGGUGCUUAGUGGUGCCCUCUUGUUUUCAAGAGAUACUUUCUUCCUUUUUCUUAGCUGAUUCAUACUGCCUUACUGGUUUGUAAUUGUAUUCUGAUUGUCUUAUUACUUCUCAAGCACAAGAAUAUUCAGCAAUAGAGAAGCUCAAGGGCAGGGUAGAGAUGGUGUUUCCACUAGGAGGAGAGAAAGCAGUUGUUACUAGCUCAGCGACACCCCCACAGACCUUUCUCAGUGCACUGCUUGUCCCAUGUGCCAUGAACUACCCCCAGACAAAAAAGCCAACCAAGGGAGCUCCCCUUGGACGUAGGGACAGGGCUGUGCUUUUUUUUUUUUCAUUAAGUUAUUAGAUCUGCUUUUUCCUUUUACUUCCCCCAAGGCCCAUUACCAAAGCUGAUUAGCAAAAGCAUCCAGACAUCUGUGAUGCAGGAGGCGGCCUGGGAGUGCUAAGAUGUGACUGUUAAGCCUUCAGACCCGAAAUAGCAAGCGGAUUUUAGGUGGAGAAAUUCAGUGAUAUUUUGUCCUGACUGUUGUCAAUGCAGCUCCCUCUACACACCUGUGGAACAUGUCUGCAGGGGAGGAGGCCCACAGUACAGCCUUUAGUUUUCUUCCAGUCACUUCUGUGGAGAGGAAGGUGCUUGUUGACUGCUGAUAAUACUGGUGGCACUUUUUGUCUGUUUGCUAAUAACUGGAAGAUUCUUGGCAGACGUACAAAGCAAACUGUGUGCAGGCAGAUAAAGCGACACAAUGCCAGCUGCCAGCAAGCUGUUCUGCACAGCAAGGUCUGGGGUUGAGGGCUGGGCCGCUGAGCACAGUGGUGAGGAGCUGCACAAAGGUCAGCCAUCUUGCCCCCAGGCCCUAUCUCCUCCCCUGCUCCCGCCCCCAGACCAGCAACAUUCUUGGCCUUUGGUUGGGACCCAUUCGGGCAAGAAAUGCCCCCUGAGCUAGAUAACACUGCCUGAAUGAGCAUUAACUGGACAAGGAGGAAACACUUCCCCCAUGGCUUCGUCCUAGUGUGAUCAGCCCAGUUUCUGGCCACUCCUGUGCUCAUCCCACAGUAAGUUCAAAAGGAGGGGUUCAGCUCAGACAUUGUUUAUCCUACUUUAGGCUUUUACAAAGCUUUGCAUCUAAAUAAAGCCUCUAAAGUUUCUACUCUGCACCUGCUUUCAGGCAUCUUAGAAUUCUAUCGCGGAAAUCGUUUCCUGAAAGGUUCUUUUUAAAAGCUUCACUUCUGUGUGUACACACAGAUGUCACACAUAGUCUGGUGGGAACAAGGUGGAUCCUAGCAACCGGUCACAUUUGCUAUUAGCGUGUCCAAAUGCUGGGGUGAGAAGUAGCACACAGCUUUCUACGAAAAGUUCUGGUGUAGCUCAGAUUAAAAUGAAGUGACCGCAUAGGCGCCAGUGGUAAGCUCUUUUACUUUUUCUUCUUUAAUUUUUAAAAACUUCAUUAUUUUAAUGUCCUGACCAGCAGCAGUACAAACACUAAAAGCAAGGGUUUUUUUGCCCAGAAAACAAAACAAAAACCCCCAAACAGGAAAAACAAACAAAAAUCCCCCAAACCACAUAUUAAAAAUGGCAGGCUUUUUAUAACAAUAAUUAAAGUAAUAAAAACAUACAAAACUUUUUUUUAAUAUAUAUAUACACAGUACAAGGCUGAAGCACCUUUGACUUUUCUCUCAAUUUAUGUUUGUAUGAAAACACCACCCACUGCAGUAACAAUUUGGUAGGUGUGAAUAUAUGUAUACAUAGAGCUCUGUACAUUUCCCCCCAAGGAGUAAUAAAAAGGUACCUUCA